rnacentral:rRNA from 1 species
GCUAGUAAUGGCAGGUCAGCAUACUGCCGUGAAUACGUUCCCGGGCCUUGUACACACCGCCCGUCACACCAUGAGAGUUGGGAAUACCCGAAGCCUGUGAGCUAACUAUUUAUAGAGGCAGCAGUCGAAGGUAGAAUCAAUGAUUGGGGUGAAGUCGUAACAAGGUACC